rnacentral:lncRNA from 1 species
GGAAGAAGGAGAAAUGGAAGGUAUUGUGGGAGACGAGCUAAAUCACCAUCUUCCAUUUUCAAAAUGCAGUUGCGGUUUGUGAACUGAAUCUCUACCAGGAGCUUCCCUCUCGGCAGGGAUGAGGGAGAGGGACUGUAAGCAGUUUUCUGUGGGUGAGAUCAUCUCCUACAUAUUGAUUGGACCAGAGAAUGUUUACGAACACAUUUUAGAGAAUAAUGGGGAAAUAUGAUACAAGAACAAUAAUGAGACCAAGUUGUGGAGGACUCUUAGAACAAGGAAGUGAAUAUAGAGCUGCAUCUGUGAGUAAUACGGGGGGUGUGUGUGUGUGUGCACGUGUGUGUGUGUGUACAGAGGAAACGACAGAAUAAAUUACAUCAUAUGGUGUGUAUUGCAGUUGGAAAGGAC